UUAAUUGAAACCAAAAAUAGAGGUUAAUUAUUGUUAAUAAUUUUAUUGAAUUUAAAAAUUCCAAUUAAU
rnacentral:tRNA from 1 species